rnacentral:lncRNA from 1 species
UUUUAUUGUUUUGUUUUAUUUUUACUUUUUCCUUUCUUCUUUCUUUUAUUUAUUUAAUAAUUUAUAGUUUUACAAAAAGUAAAACCCAUACCUAAAAUAGAGUUACAAUUCCAACUACUUUCACAGAAAGUUUUGCCCCUGAUCAAAAUAGUUUAGCAUUUUAUAAUAUUCAAAAGGCAUUUAUUUAAUAGUUUUACCUACUAUUUUAAUCAUUUAAGUGCAUUUAAUCCUUUUAUAAAAAUGUGGUUUCUCCACAAUAAUUACCUAUGCAUUAUUUGGCAACACCCCAACAUUUUAGUUUUAAUAUUUGAAAAUCUUUACCGUUUGACUUUAUUUUAAGUUUUAAUUUCGAAUCGAUUUUGAACUAACACAAGAUUUACAACAGUAACGUGGUGACGUGGCAUCAAUAACGUGGGAUUAUUGUAGCCUAAUUAUCCGGGCGUCACAAUUCUCCUCCACUACAAGAAAUCUCGUCCCGAGAUUUAAGAGGUAGUGAAAAGGGGGGAAGGUUUAGUUACGAAAUUCUAACGGAUCUUCUCGGCCUUGGUUACUCUUCUCGAAGAGGUCGAUCCAUUAAGUUGAUGCCUUCAUUCCUCUUCUCCAGGUCAUCAUGAUGAAGUUGCCAUCCUUCCUUCAGGAUCUUCACCAUACUUACGAAAGGUUAAGAGGGGAAAACUCUAUAAGGACGGAUUCUAACAGGAUUGAGCAUCAGACGGUUAACUCGGGGGAAGAAGCAUAAGUAUCUCUCGAUUUGAAACUUAAGAAGAUAUCGAGAGCAAAGUAAGAAGGUACCCUGAGAAGUUUCAAACGGAUAGUCAAUGGUUCGAUGUCUGAAACCAAGUGCGAAAGGGGUCCAGAGUAACGGGAUUAAGUAUUGCGUCUGUUACGAAAAUAGAUCACUAGGAAGGUGGCCCGUGAGUUACAUACGAGGCCACGCCCGAGGAACAACCUUGGGAACAGGGGGUGUACAGGAGAGUCAGGUUUUGAUCCUGUGGAACUGUGGGUUGUGGGCCCACCAUGUGGGUUAAAAGUAGGAAGGCGAUGACGUCUUACACGAUCAUGUAAGCAAGGCAUGUCAGAGGAUAGCCUGUCAGUUAUGUUGACAACAACAUCGGUACCAAGGGCGAGGGACGAAGAGAGCCAUUAUCCUGCUCGUUGAACGAGGCGGACCAAUAGGCAAAGUUCUCGUCCAUCGGUGGCUACCGGAAUGUCAUCAAUAAUAGUAACAGGGUCUUGCUGAUAGAAUUGUACACUGUGGUGUUUACAUAAGCAGGAGAAUAUUACUGCUUAGAUCAUAUAGAUCACAAUAAAGGUUAAACCAAACAAUGGAAAGGAAAAUAUGAUUAUCAGAUUAAACAAAACAAUGGAAAGGAAAAUGUGUUUAAACACAUAUUUCAGGGGCAUAUCCUUCCCAAGGACAAGCAGAGCAUGAUAUCUGUGACAAGAUAUAAUGUAGAAAACCCUUUAGGUAACGGGAGAGAAACUGCAUGACAUUACCCAUACAGCGGUGUUUGGAUAAUUGAGCAAGAAACAUUUAGCAUUGGGCUUCAAAUGUUCUUGUUGAAAAUCAGAGUACCACAGACAUGCUUCGAGAUAGCAUUGACAUGGACUUCAAGCAAAGGUCAGACUUUGGAUACUCAAUGGAUUCAUCAGGAACAACUUAUAGAAUAAGUCUUUCAAUUUCCUCAUGGAAGAAUGGUUAACAUUGCUAAAAGGAAGAACUAUAACAAUAGGCCCUCCAGCCAGGUGUGCUAGGCAUGACAUCACCUUACCGGGUCAUAUAAAUACAAAUGUUAUAACUCUUGGAAAAUGUUCCAACCAUCAAAUCUGACAGAGAUUCAGAUCUGAUAGGUGGCAGGAUACCUCAGACUCAGGAUGCCUGAGAAGGAAAGGUGCAACACAAAUUGAUGAGACGACAUUGUAAGAUUCUCGGGAAAUGUACUAUGGAAGCGAGUUUCGAAACAAGAGCUCUUCAUUAAACAAAUGAAGGGAUAAGGAGGUAGCUGAUGAACUCAUGGACAAUUCAUCGAGACUUCCAAAAGAUGGGUUUCCACAAUUAUGUGAACAAGGAGAUAUCAUUAGUCAGAUCAAAUGAUAUAAUGAUGUAUGCUCGAGGAAAUCAUACACAAUUAAAAAUGGUUGAAAAAGGUGCACCCGACAUAUGGGCUUAGGUAGCACGAUCAAUGUUAGAAUGGUGAUUAAUUAUCCAAUAGUCUAAGAAUGAACUGUCGACCAUUAACUCCAAUGCAAAUAGGGUUGCUAGGAGUACAGAAUCCAAGCAGCAUCGUUCACUUGUUGGUAUUCCGGUUAGAAUCAACAUUGGGACCAAGAAAGAAUGGUGAUGGUGAGAAGUAUCACUAUACCAAGAAAUUUUAAUAGGUGGAGCAAUUCUCACGACCUUCUUGACAUAAAAGAUGGUAAUACUUCAAGGUAGAGCAUAACAUAAGUCGGAUGGUAAGGAACUCAAGGUACAACGCAAAACUAGAACAAGUUUUGUGUUGCAGAAAUGCAAGAAUGUUGUCGAUGUUAACACAAUCAUCAAGGGGGAAAGGAUGAUAUCUCUCAUCAUGGAUUCGACUGAUAUUCUGGAAACACUUGUCGAGAGAUUUCAUGAAGAUGUAAUCGAUCGGCGAUGACAUCAAGUCAAAGGAAUGAUGAAGCGAAAGGUUAUUGGAACCACGGGUACGACACAAACUCAAGUCCAAGCUUGCGGUUCAAGGAGAAGUGAUAUGACGAGGAAGAUCGACGCAAGAUUAGCUCACUGUCGAAAUUUGUGCGAUGGGAAGGUCCAGGUAGCACAGUUAAAAUCGGCACGAAAAUGACAUAGCCGAGCAGGCUAGGAAUGACUUGAAGGAUUAUUAAACUCGUAAGCAACAAAAAUUACUUAGAGUUAUUGAAUCGAAGUGCGGAAUUGAUUCACUUAUCGGUGUCCUUGAGGGGUCCUAACAACUCAUAACCCGUUGGAAAAAUGGAAUCGGCAAGAACAUUAGUUGAUGAAGAACUCAUAAGAAGUUAAGUAGUUCCUUGGCAUUCUCGAGAUACCAAGGGGUAAUACUCGACGACAGACCAAAGUAGAUGUUGGACGGGGGUAUUGCUCUGCGGAGGACAAGUGCUUAAACUUGCACGAGAAAUGGUAUUUAAAGGAGAACAUGGUUAGAACCACGAUUGAAAAAAGCCAGAUGCCAGAUAUAAGACGAACUUAUACCCAGGGAAUAAUUAAUUUAAGAGAAUCUUUAAUGAUAAGAUCUACAUCAUGUCCAUGGGCAUGAACACAAAGUUCAAGGUCGACUCCCACUUCUCCAAUGCAUAACCUUUCAUUCACUUCUUGCAUUCAAUGAAGUUGUAUGGUAGAAAAUUAUCUAGUAAAAUACCAGAAGGGUAUGACUUGUGAAAACCUUCGGGUUCAUACGGUUUUUAGGGAAGGUAUAGGUUCAAUCCAUCGGGGCAUCUUAGAAACAUAUACCUCAAACUUCAAGAGUAAAAUCACCAGCUCAAAAGUAGAGUAUGGUUAUCAAGCAGAGGAUACAAAUUACCAAAGCCAUUAUAUAUCCAUGGAAAUGAUCACAAGGUUAUUGAAUAUGAAGGACAUUGUCGGAUAAUAACCCAACAAGGGGUCUUGUGGUCUACAACGGAGCUGAUGCGAGUAUCGGUACUCUAUCAGAGGAAGAAGGAAUGAAAGGGCAUCGGACUAUAAAAACAACUGAGUAAUUGAAAGCUCAAAUGCAAAGGAAUUAUCAUUUCCAAAUCAAGGGAUCAGAAGCCAAUGGUCUGAUUAAGAAUGGAUAAGUUGAAUAGACUUAGGGGUACAAUCGACGGCAAUUUGAUUGGUCGAUAAGCAGUUCAUGUUUCAAAUGACGUCUGAGCCAGAAGGAUGAAUUCUAGGCUCUGAUUGAGGAUUGCGAGCAUUCGCAACAAAUUGAAUCAACGGACUCAAAAUGAUAAUGACAAGAGAUGCCAAUAAGAUUACGAGACUUAAGAUUAAUCAUAAUGCAAGUAAGCAAGAAUUUCAAGAGCAAAAAGGCUCCUGAGGAUUUUCGGAAGAUCUAAUGGUAUUUCGAACACUUUUGUGAAAUACUUGAAUCAACUGGGGGUGAGCGGAUACUCGGUAAGUGCGAGAAUUAUCUGUAGGGGUAUUCAGGUGACAAAGAACAGCAAGGCAGUAAGCUCAAAGGAUUCUCGGAACAACAGAGAGAAUUUCGGGGUAUCUUGUAAUAACAAGAUCAACUGGGAAACAUUGUAUGAAUGGCGAGUAUACGUGGUUAUCCAUAGGAGUUUAUCGAUGGAAGGGAUUGCCAAAGCGAUGAACACAAGUUCUCGGGUUAACAGCAGAGAGUGUCUUCAGGGUCCUCACGUGCAGCAGACGAUCAUCAGUAAUAAGUGGCCCUCCGGGUGAAAGUGAUAACGAGAUCCUAAUGUUAGAAUUAGCAAAAUUCAUUUAACCCGAAUAGAAGAGAGAUCAGAGUCCCAGAGUAUAGACAAGGAGUAAAAGAUCCUAAUACCACCCAAUGGCGACGUGGGCCCGUAAGCCACACAACUAUGUUAGUAAAAGUUUUUCAAUGACGAGACUCGACUUCGGCCAAGGAGUUGGAAAGGGGAUUCCUACAGGCAGUUGGCUCUGAUACCAACUUGUGAUGCCCCCGAUUUGACCGUAUACUAAUCAUGCACGCAAACGUGUACGAUCAAGAUCAGGGACUCACGGGAAGAUAUCACAACACAACUCUAAAACAUAAAUAAGUCAUAAAAGCAUCAUAAUACAAGCCAGGGGCCUCGAGGGCUCGAAUACAAGUGCUCGAUCAUAGACGAGUCAGCGGAAGCAACAAUAUCUGAGUACAGACAUAAGUUAAACAAGUUUGCCUUAAGAAGGCUAGCACAAACUGGGAUACAGAUCGAAAGAGACGCAGGCCUCCUGCCUGGGAUCCUCCUAAACUACUCCUGGUCAUCGUCAGCGGGCUGCAUGUAGUAGUAGGCACCUCCGGUGUAGUAGGAGUCGUCAUCGAUGGUGGCGUCUGGCUCCUGGGCUCCAGCAUCUGGUUGUGACAACCAGGUAGAAAGGAAAGGGGGAAAAGAGGGAGAAAAGCAACCGUGAGUACUCAUCCAAAAUACUCGCAAGCAAGGAGCUACACUACAUAUGCAUGGGUAUAUGUGUAAAGGGCCAUAUCGGUGGCCAGAAUAAGAGGGGGAUAGCUAAUCCUGUCGAAGACUACGCUUCUGGCCACCUCCAUCUUGCAGCAUGUAGAAGAGAGUAGAUGGUAAGUUCACCAAGUAGCAUCGCAUAGCAUAAUCCUACCCGGCGAUCCCCUCCUUGUCGCCCUGCUAGAGAGCGAUCACCGGGUUAUAUCUGGCACUUGGAAGGGUGUGUUUUAUUAAUUAUCCGGUUCUAGUUGUCAUAAGGUCAAGGUACAACUCCGGGUCGUCCUUUUCCGAGGGACACGGCUAUUCGAAUAGAUAAACUUCCCUGCAGGGGUGCACCACAUAACCUAACACGCUCGAUCCCAUUUGGCCGGACACACUUUUCUGGGUCAUGCCCGGCCUCGGAAGAUCAACACGUCGCAGCCCCACCUAGGCACAAUAGAGAGGUCAUUACGCCGGUCUAAAUCCUAUGGCGCCGGGGUCUGGGCCCAUCGCCCAUUGCACACCUGCACGUUGCGAACGUGGCCGAAAGCAGACCUAGCCUAGCAGGCGUUCCAGUCCAAUCCGGCGCGCGCCACUCAGUCGCCGACGUCACGAAGGCUUCGGCUGAUACCACGACGUCGAGUGCCCAUAACUAUUCCCGCAUAGUUGGUUAGUGCGUAUAGACCAAAUGGCCAGACUCAGAUCAAAUACCAGGAACUCGUUAAGCGUGUUAUUUUGAAGUAACUGCGGACACCGACCAGGGCCAGGCCCACCUCACUCCUAGGUGGUCUCAACCUGCCCUGUCGCUCCGCCACAAAGUAACAGUCGGGGGCCGUCAGGAACCCAGGCCCACCUCUACCGGGAUGGGGCCACCUGUCCUUUCAGCCCCCUUAUCAGAAUCACUUGCGGGUACUCAACGAGCUGACCCGACUUUAGUAACCACAUGUGUCAUGUAUAUAAAGUAUAUAGUAUAUACCCGUGAUCACCUCCCUAGUGAUCACGGCCCAGUAGUAUAGCAUGGCAGACGGACAAGAGUGUAGGGCCACUGAUGGAACACUAGCAUCCUAUACUAAGCAGUAGGAUAGCAGGUAGGGUAACAACUGUAGCAACAAUGACAGGCUAUGCAUCAGUAUAGGAUUAACCAAAAGCAAUAACAUGCUACACUACUCUAAUGCAAGCAGUAUAGAGAAGGAAUAGGCGAUAUCUGGUGAUCAAGGGGGGGGCCUGCCUGGAAGCUCAGCCGAGAAGGAGGGGUCAUCAACAGCGUAGUCGGUCGGGGCACCAGCAGCGGCGUCGGUCUCGUAGUCUACCGGAGAAGAGGGGGAAGAAACAAUAAAUAUAAUGCAAACAUAAGCAUGGCGAUGGAAGACAUGUCAAUGCGCGGUUCUAGGUGUGCCCUAACACGGUAGGAGGUGGUACCGGGAAAGGGGGGAAACAUCCGGGAAAGUAUUCCCGGUGUUUCGCGUUUUCGGACAGAUGAACCGUAGGGGGAAAGUUGCGUGUUUGCUAUGCUAGGGAUGUGUGGCGGGCGAACGGGCUGCGUAUUCGGAUUCGUCUCGUCGUUUUGAGCAACUUUCAUGUACAAAGUAUUUUCAUCCGAAUUACAGAUUAUUUACUAUGAUUUUUCGAAGAUUUAAAAGAUUUUCUAAUUUUCUGGAAUUCAUUUAAUUCGAAAAUAACAGUAAAUACUUUUUAAACACAGACUGAGCCAGCCACAAUCGAUGACACGUGGGGCCAGCCAAAGUCCAGUCAGCAGUACAGUCAGCAUUGACUUGGUCAAAGUUGACCAGUCAACAGGGUCAAUGGGCCCCCAUAUGUCAGUGUCACAUGUGUUUUAACAAAAAGCUUAAAACAGUCUAAUUAGAGGUGGGGCCCUUCUAUCAUUGACACAUCAAGCUAAUUACAAGUUAAUUAGCUAAUUAAGCUACAUUAAUUAAUUUAAUUUAUUAAUUGAUUAGUAUCAUUUUCCUUUUACCCCAUUUUUUUAUUUUACAGGGGCGGAUCCCAUAUGGCAGUAGCCUAUAGGGCCACCAGGGGGUUGGAUGGGCACGAGCGCGUGCGUGCUCGCCGGCGAUAGCAGAGCGAUGGGGUCGGCAUGGAAGUGGUCCACUAGCGUCGGCCGGAGGCGCAACAGGCAGGCAGCGGAGCAGCAGAGCUGCAACGUGGUGCAGGAGCAGGCGAGGAUGGCGUGGGGUGUGGCCGGGCGGAGACGGGGCAGGCGCAGCUGUGCGCGGACAGCAGGCCGCAGCAACGGCGCGGUGAGGGCAGCGGCGGGAUCCGGGCACGCGCGCAGGCGCAGCCGUGGCUCGCGUAGGCGCGAGGACGAUGAGUGCUGGGCGCGCGCUGGCAGCCAAGGUCGUCGCCGGAGCAGGGGAUGCGGUCGACGACGAGCUAGGAUGGGCGGGGGCGCUUUUGUAGACCGGGGCGGUGAGCGCGACGAUGUCCAGCGGGCGCGGAUGGCGCCGUCGCGGGCGAGGGAGCGACGCAGGGGAGGCGAAGCAAGGGCCGCCGCGGUGAGGUGCGAGGCACGGGAAGAAGGAGGACCGGGGUGCGUAGGGACGGGGCAGUGGUGCGUGAGGAGGAGGACGAAGACGGUGCGUCGUGGAGGAGGCAGACCGGCGGGGAGGACGGGGGCAGGCCGGCGAGGUGGUCCUGGUCGACGGCGAGGUGGCGAUCCAGUCGGCGGCGCGGUCGGCGCGAGGCGUGGCCGCGGCUUCCGGCGGGCAUCGCGCGAGGGAGAGGAGGGGCGAGGAGUCAGCGGGGGCGGGGGCGUGGUCGCCCCGAUCCCGAUCUGGAUCGGGGGAGUGGGGGGAGAGAGCGAGUGGGGGAGGGAGUGCGUGGUGGGGGUUAGGGUUUCAGGACGUGGGGGGGGGGUAAGGGAGUUGGUGGUUCGGCCGGUUAGGCCUGUUUUAGUUAGGUGGGCCAAAUGGCCCAGUAGGUUAGGUCCUCCAUUUUCUUUUCCUUUUAUUGUUUUGUUUUAUUUUUACUUUUUCCUUUCUGCUUUCUUUUAUUUAUUUAAUAAUUUAGUUUUACAAAAAGUAAAACCCAUACCUAAAAUAGAGUUACAAUUCCAACUACUUUCACAGAAAGUUUUGCCCCUGAUCAAAAUAGUUUAGCAUUUUAUAAUAUUCAAAAGGCAUUUAUUUAAUAGUUUUACCUACUGUUUUAAUCAUUUAAGUGCAUUUAAACCUUUUAUAAAAAUGUGGUUUCUCCACAAUAAUUACCUAUGCAUUAUUUGGCAACACCCCAACAUUUUAGUUUUAAUAUUUGAAAAUCUUUACCGUUUGACUUUAUUUUAAGUUUGAAUUUCGAAUCAAUUUUGAACUAACACGAGAUUAACAACAGUAACCGUGGUGACGUGGCAUCAUUAACGUGGGAUUAUUGUAGCCUAAUUAUCC